rnacentral:rRNA from 1 species
UACAGAGGUCCCAAGCGUUGUUCGGAUUCACUGGGCGUAAAGGGUGCGUAGGCGGUCGGGUAAGUCUGAUGUGAAAUCUCACAGCUUAACUGUGAAACUGCAUUGGAUACUAUCCGGCUCGAGGAAUGGAGGGGAGACUGGAAUACUUGGUGUAGCAGUGAAAUGCGUAGAUAUCAAGUGGAACACCAGUGGCGAAGGCGUGUCUCUGGACAUUUCCUGACGCUGAGGCACGAAAGCCAGGGGAGCAAACGGG